GUCUAUGAAUCAAAGCAGUGGUUUUCAAACUGCGAGUUGCAACCUGGUACUGGGUCACGACAGCUCUUGUCAGCACAGCCAACUGGGCCAUUAAAAGUCCCAUUGGCGGUGCUGCCCGGGUAAGGCAGGCUAGUCCAUACCUGUUCUGAAGCUGUGGCCAGCAGCAAGUCCAGCUCCUAGGUGGGAGGGAGACACGGGGCUCUGUGCGCUACCCCCACCCCAAG